GUCGAAAAUGUUGUCUCUCUUGAGUGGAUCCUGAGUACGACGGAGCACGUGAAAUUCCGUCGGAAUCUGGGAGGACCAUCUCCUAAGGCUAAAUACUCUCUAGUGACCGAUAGUGAACCAGUACCGUGAGGGAAAGGUGAAAAGCACCCCGGAAGGGGAGUGAAAUAGAACCUGAAACCGUGUGCUUACAAGUAGUCAGAGCCCGUUAAUGGGUGAUGGCGUGCCUUUUGUAGAAUGAACCGGCGAGUUACGAUUUGAUGCAAGGUUAAGCAGUAAAUGUGGAGCCGUAGCGAAAGCGAGUCUGAAUAGGGCGUUUAGUAUUUGGUCGUAGACCCGAAACCAGGUGAUCUACCCUUGGUCAGGUUGAAGUUCAGGUAACACUGAAUGGAGGACCGAACCGACUUACGUUGAAAAGUGAGCGGAUGAACUGAGGGUAGCGGAGAAAUUCCAAUCGAACCUGGAGAUAGCUGGUUCUCUCCGAAAUAGCUUUAGGGCUAGCCUCAAGUGAUGAUUAUUGGAGGUAGAGCACUGUUUGGACGAGGGGCCCCUCUCGGGUUACCGAAUUCAGACAAACUCCGAAUGCCAAUUAAUUUAACUUGGGAGUCAGAACAUGGGUGAUAAGGUCCGUGUUCGAAAGGGAAACAGCCCAGACCACCAGCUAAGGU
rnacentral:rRNA from 1 species